UUACGGCCAUAUCACAUUGAAACACCGAUUCUCGUCGAUCACCGAAGUUAAGCAACUGGUCAGUACUCAGAUGGGUGACCACUGGGGAAUUAAUGGAAGCUGGA